AAGGUCAUGCCGAGGAGCUGGGAUCCGGUGCCGAUGCACACGGACAGCGCGCCGGGCGCGGGCGGCGGCCUGAACACGUCGCCGUGAACCAGCUUCCACCCCGUCUCCUCGGCAGUCUCCUCGACAGUCUCCAGCUGGUUGUACUGGGUGAUGUCCCUGCGAAGCGUGCGGAUCAUGAUCAUCGCCACCAUGCCGCUGAGGAACAGCAAGAUCAUCGCGCUGUUCACCACGCUGAACCAGUGAAUCUCCCUGUCCUGGGUCUGCAGGUAGGUAUCCCACCUCGACGCCCAGCGCACGGGGGAGGAUUUGAACACCACGUCGUAGGUGAAGACAAUCUCCUCGCCCGCGGCGACGAUCUGCGGGGACUCGCCGAGCGGGUGGGGCUCGUCCGCGUUGCCCGCGCACGUCUUCAACCUCGGCGCGGAGUCGUCCCAUCGGUCGUACUCGUGCCU
rnacentral:lncRNA from 1 species